UCUCAUGAGUGUAUAUUCAUCUAUUACUGGUACCUAUGUUUGUAUAUUUUUUCUGAGAAAUUCCUCUUUAUAGUAUUUCCAUGACAUACUGGAGAUUUUCCCCUGGAAAAACUAAUGGUUGGAGCACAUUCUGAAAAUCACAAGAAGGGAAGUGCCUCUGAGCUAGUAACUUUGCUAAAGGAAAUUGUCAUCCCAGACGUUGUGUAGCCUUAAAAUCCAUGGGAUGAUGUAGGAAGAAAGCCCUCACCAGAUGCUGACGUCGUGAUCUUGGACUUCCCAGCUUCCAGACCGGUAAGGAUAAGUUUCUGUUCAUUGUGAAUGACCCAGUCUCAGCUAUUCUGUUACAGUUACAUAAAUGGACCAAGAGAGUCAGGGAAGCAGCAUGGAACAGCUUAUGAAACUUUUGCAUCUGAGGCAGGCUCCCGUGCUCUAUCUACUCAUUUUUAUUUUUAACUUUGUGACUUUAUUACUUCGGUCUCCUAGAAUAAACCAUUUAAUCUCUUUGCACUGGGGCUUCAUAAUCUACAAAUGGGAAAAGUAGGUUAGAAAACUUCUGAUCUCCUUUCUAGAUGUGACAUUCUGUGAUUCCAGAUAGUGGAAUACAAUAGGGUGGGCUUUUGUUUCCCUCUCCUAGAGUAGAUGAGAAAUCAUGUAAGCAGAAAGCCCAUUUAUAAUGCUUUCCUGCCUCAUAUUUUUUCUCAGACACAAUUGGAGUACAAUAGAUAUUUAAUAGAUCCUUGUUAACUGAAUAAUGUUCCUUCUGUAUGGUCAGGAGCCCUCAGAUACCUUUGUAAAUACUCUCAAUUUAGACUUCAGGGCAUUAAAGGAAGAUGCUUCAUUUUGCCAAUGACAUUCUUUUUUGAUACAACUUAACAGCAUGGAUUUAGCUUUUGCUUUAUGUGAGUAAAGCAAAGUUGUUAAAUUCAGGCAUCUUCCUGGAAUAAAUGUGAACUGCUGUAAUUAGAAACUUUUUCUGUCAUAAUUAUGUCCUAGAGGCUGAGACAUGGGUUCCUUUUAAUAAAUGGAAAAGGAAAGUUACCCAGGCCAAGGAGAUUAAUCUUUGGAAGAGAGUCUAGCAGAAAUAGAACAACCUACCUCAGAAACUGGAUGAACAAAUACCCACAUGAGAGAAACAGAAACCACAGGUCAUAGGAAAAGGCUCUGAACCACAAGAAGAAUGUGAAAGAAAGGGGCUGAAUUCUGACCACAGGAGGAGUCACAAAAAAAUCUCCCUUUGUGUGGUUCUCAGUGAGCUGGUCUGAAAGGGAAAUGAGUAGUGAAGGGCUUUUCAUUUUAAAUUUUAGUCAAAAGAAAAAUCUGUUCUGUUGCAUUAUGGCCCAUGCAGAAAAGAAGGAAAAUCAAAGUAAUGAUGAGGAGGCCAUUUAAAGGGGGGAAAUAUAAUAACUUUCAUUUAGUCUGUUUAUUUCUUUUAAAAAUAUACGACAUUUGGCAGAGGUAACAUGUAUAUCACUGAGGAUGACAGAUGAUGUGGAGAUGUAAAGUAUGAAAAUGAAAAUAGUCAUUUAAAAAAUCUUAAUAAUUUGGGGACAUGUUUAGAAAACUCUUAAGUCAAUAUCUUCCUACUCUUUUCAUAUCACGGUUCAUAUUAAAA